GUGGGGAAUCUUAGACAAUGGGCGCAAGCCUGAUCUAGCCAUGCCGCGUGAGUGAUGAAGGCCCUAGGGUUGUAAAGCUCUUUCAGCUGGGAAGAUAAUGACGGUACCAGCAGAAGAAGCCCCGGCUAACUCCGUGCCAGCAGCCGCGGUAAUACGGAGGGGGCUAGCGUUGUUCGGAAUUACUGGGCGUAAAGCGCGCGUAGGCGGACUGAAAAGUUGGGGGUGAAAUCCCGGGGCUCAACCUCGGAACUGCCUUCAAAACUAUCAGUCUGGAGUUCGAGAGAGGUGAGUGGAAUUCCGAGUGUAGAGGUGAAAUUCGUAGAUAUUCGGAGGAACACCAGUGGCGAAGGCGGCUCACUGGUCCAUUACUGACGCUGAGGUGCGAAAGCGUGGGGAGCAAACAGGAUUAGAUACCCCGGUAGUCC
rnacentral:rRNA from 1 species